GACGAACGCUGGCGGCGUGCCUAAUACAUGCAAGUUGAGCGCUGAAGGUUGGUACUUGUACCAUCUGGAUGAGCAGCGAACGGGUGAGUAACGCGUGGGGAAUCUGCCUUUGAUCGGGGGACAACAUUUGGAAACGAAUGCUAAUACCGCAUAAAAACUUUAAACACAAGUUUUAAGUUUGAAAGAUGCAAUUGCAUCACUCAAAGAUGAUCCCGCGUUGUAUUAGCUAGUUGGUGAGGUAAAGGCUCACCAAGGCGAUGAUACAUAGCCGACCUGAGAGGGUGAUCGGCCACAUUGGGACUGAGACACGGCCCAAACUCCUACGGGAGGCAGCAGUAGGGAAUCUUCGGCAAUGGACGAAAGUCUGACCGAGCAACGCCGCGUGAGUGAAGAAGGUUUUCGGAUCGUAAAACUCUGUUGGUAGAGAAGAACGUUGGUGAGAGUGGAAAGCUCAUCAAGUGACGGUAACUACCCAGAAAGGGACGGCUAACUACGUG
rnacentral:rRNA from 1 species